GCCGCCCGUCCUGACACAACGGAUCGUCCGGCACGUGCCUGCCGGUGGAAGGAAAGAGAC
rfam:Agrococcus carbonis strain DSM 22965 genome assembly, chromosome: I